rnacentral:rRNA from 1 species
UACGAAGGGAGCUAGCGUUGUUCGGAAUCACUGGGCGUAAAGCGCACGUAGGCGGAUUUGUAAGUCAGGGGUGAAAUCCCGGGGCUCAACCUCGGAACUGCCUUUGAUACUGCAAAUCUCGAGUCCGGAAGAGGUGAGUGGAAUUCCUAGUGUAGAGGUGAAAUUCGUAGAUAUUAGGAAGAACACCAGUGGCGAAAGGCGGCUCACUGGUCCGGUACUGACGCUGAGGUGCGAAAGCGUGGGGAGCAAACAGGG